rnacentral:tRNA from 1 species
UAAAAUGUAGCUUAACCAAAGCAUCUCGCUUACACCGAUAAAAUACCCGUUUAACCCGGGUCAUUUUAA